rnacentral:rRNA from 1 species
UGGGGAAUAUUGGACAAUGGGCGCAAGCCUGAUCCAGCCAUGCCGCGUGGGUGAAGAAGGCCUUAGGGUUGUAAACCCCUUUCAGCGGGGAAGAUAAUGACGGUACCCGCAGAAGAAGCCCCGGCUAACUCCGUGCCAGCAGCCGCGGUAAUACGGAGGGGGCUAGCGUUGUUCGGAAUUACUGGGCGUAAAGCGCGCGUAGGCGGACCUACAAGUCGGGGGUGAAAGCCCCGGGCUCAACCUGGGAAUUGCGCUUGGGACGGGGUGGCUUGAGUUCGGGAGAGGAGAGUGGAAUUCCCAGUGUAGAGGUGAAAUUCGUAGAUAUUGGGAAGAACACCGGUGGCGAAGGCGGCUCUCUGGACCGAUACUGACGCUGAGGCGCGAAAGCGUGGGGAGCAAACAGGAUUAGAUACCCUGGUAGUCCACGCUGUAAACGAUGUGUGCUAGACGUUGGGAAGCCUAGCUUCUCGGUGUCGUAGCUAACGCGGUAAGCACACCGCCUGGGGAGUACGGCCGCAAGG